GCCGUACAGUAGGUGGUGGCAAUAAGCCAAUAGGUAUAGUCUGCCAUAAAACCCUAAAGAAGAACAAGAUAACAUCAAAGCAGCUUAACUGUACUGUUGUAACUGAAAACAUUUCAUAUCAUACAAAGAAACAGUAGCUUCCACAAUGGAUCAGGACAAAGCUAGCCCGUCCCCCUCCACCCUCCAGGAGUCACCAGGUCCACCGCCUCUCCAUACUUUACUGCUGGUUCUGGUCGACUGCAGGAAGGGGACAUCCCUAAUCAUUGCUCUCUUAGUGGGAGGGGCGUAUCAUCUGGGGAGCCUCCACAACAUCAUGAUUCUGAUAAGAAAGAGAAGAGUCUCUCCAGAUCAGAACACCUCAAGAAACACCAGCAUAGAGGUAUAGGGAAGAAACCUCACCACUGCUGCUCUGACUGUGAGAAGAGUUUUGCUAAACAAGACUUAACUAUUCAUGAGCAAAUUCACACUGGAUAGAACCCGUACCAUUGCUCUCAGCGUGGGAAGAGUUUUGCUGCAUCUAAAACCUUAAAAUUUCAUCAGAGAAUUCAUACAUGGGAGAGGCCUUACCCAUGCUUUGAUUGUGGGAACUACCGUAAAUUCCGGACUAUAAGCCGCAACUUUUUCCCCACGCUUUGAACCUCGCGGCUUAAACAAUGACGCGGCUAAUAUAUGGAUUUUUCCCGCUUUCAAUUUUUUUUCUCCAAAAAAACACAUUCUGUGACAUGCUCAGUUUUUUGGCGGCAUGAAGCUUUCAUUAGACCAAUGAAAUUGCCGAACGGGUUAAGGUCAAAAACUUUUUGGUUUACUGUUUAGAUUAAAUCGAGCGCUCUCAAACUUCCCAUCAUUCUGAUUACGGUAGUCAUUUUGUCACCCUCAUCAUGGCAAAGACACGGAGAAAUGCAUAUGAUGCAGCUUUCAAGUUGAAGGCGAUUGAUCUGGCUGUUGGAAAAGGAAAUAGAGCUGCUGCACGGGAGCUUGGUCUUAAUGAGUCGAUGAUAAGACGUUGGAAACAGCAGCGUGCGGAAUUGACUCAGUGCAAAAAGACAACUAAAGCUUACUGCAAAUUUUUUAUUUUUUGUUACAAGCCGUGUUUCGUUAAAGCCUAUUUAUUUUUGUUACAAGCCGUGUUUCGUUAAAGCCUGUGUAAAGUUAAUUUGUUUCAAUGUACCGGUAGGCACCUGCGGCUUAUAGACAUGUGCAGCUUAUAUUCAGGUGCGCUUAAUAGUCCGGAAAUUACGGUACUUCAAUCAAUCAGGAGCCCAGACUAAACACAAACACACAGGAGAGAAGCCUUAUAGCUUUGAUCAGUGUGGGAAGAGCUUCAGUCGAUCAGGAGACCUGACUAAACACCAACUCAUACACACAGGAGAGAAGCCUUAUAGCUGUGAUCAUUGUGGAAAGAGCUUUGCUCAUUCAGGUUCACUGAUAACACACCAUAAAGCACAAACAUGUUUUCUUUUAUUUCGUUUCUCUCCGGCACCGGUUCCAGAUCCCUAAAUAAAGUUUCAAUAGAAACCAUAUUGUAAAAGAGUUAUGUCUCCCAUUCUCUAACAGUUUACUAAGUCUGAUUACCAUGGUAACCUGUGUAGCAUGAUAUGCAGCUCUGGAUCAAUAUGUAUCAAGCAUCUUGGAGUAGGAGUGCUCUGUGUGUGGUGGGGUGGGGGUGUUCAGAGCUGUAUCUUAUUUCAUUAACUCCUAUUAUCCAUUAACCUGUUAGGGCUAGGGGGCAGUAUUGACACGGCUGGAUAAAAAACGUACCCGAUUUAAUCUGGUUACUACUCCUGCCCAGUAACUAGAAUAUGCAUAUAAUUAUUGGCUUUGGAUAGAAAACACCCUAAAGUUUCUAAAACUGUUUGAAUGGUGUCUGUGAGUAUAACAGAACUCCUAUGG
rnacentral:lncRNA from 1 species